GACGAACGCUGGCGGCGUGCCUAAUACAUGCAAGUCGAACGCAGUGGGUACGGGUGAGUAACACUUCGGUAACCUCCCAUUAGAGGGGAGAACACUUGGAAACAGGGGCUAAACCGAUAAUGCUGGAUGGACCCGCGGUGCAGUAGCUUGUUGGUGAGGUAACGGCUCACCAAGGCCACGAGGCAUAGCCGACCUGAGAGCGUGAUCGGCUACACUGGGACUCAGACACGGCCCAGACUCCUACGGGAGGCAUCAGUAGAGAAUCUUCGACAAUGCCGGAAAGUCCGACCGAGUAACGCCGCGUGAGUGAAGAAGGUUUUCGGAUCUUAAAGCUCUGUUGUUAGAGAAGCGGUAUCUAACCAGAAAGCCCCGGCUAACUACGUGCCAGCAGCCGCGGUAAUAC
rnacentral:rRNA from 1 species